CGAAAAAAACGAUCGUUUAACGCUCGUUUUCAAAAACGAUUAACAACCCUAAUUGUAGCCUGAAUCUAAUCCGUCUCUUUCAUCAUAUCCUGGUUCGAUCCGUCCUGUUUCCUUGUAUCCCCAAUCUGAUCCGUCCUUUUUCAUUGUAUCCUUCUUCUGAUUAGUUCUGUUUCAUUGUAUUCUAGUUUUAUUAGUCCUGUUUUAUUCUUUUUUACAGUUUUGAUCCGUCCCUUUUCAUUUUAUCCUAGUUUGGAUCGAUCCUGUUUCCUUAUAUCCUUGUUAAUUCCGUUCUAUUUCAUUAUAUCCUAGUUCUGAUCCAUCCUUCUUCAUUAUAUCCUUGUUAAUUCAGUACUAUUUCAUUAUAUCCUAGUUCUGAUCCGUCCUUCUUCAUUAUAUCCUUGUUAAUUCAGUACUAUUUCAUUAUAUCCUAGUUCGGAUCCGUCCUUUUUCAUUAUAUCCUAGUUAAUUUCCUCAAGAACUGUCCUGUUUCACUUUAUCCUAGUUCAAUGAUUCAUCCUGUUUCAUGUUAUCCUAGUUCGAGGUCAUAUUCGAUCUGGUUUUAAUUUGAUAUUUGAAUGGUAUCCUGGUUUUUCUUCAUGUUAUCAUUUCAUUCUGUAUUUGAACUUCUUUUUUAUCCUGGUUACCUUUCCUAAAUUUUUAAGUAUCUUGAACCAUGGUCCUAUAAUCCUUUUUAAAGGGUUUAAUCAUUGUCAAUACUCAUUGAUCCAUCUUGUUUCGUCCUAGUGUGUCUUAUCCUACCCUGAGACACACGAACCUUUGACUUAUUUUCCUCGCAAAUUAUUCUGUAAUUCCUUUCCUUUGACCCUGUCUCUCUACUGGACCCAGGAGACAGGAGCAAGGUUCCAUAUGAAAACUUAUAUUUGAGAAGGAAGUUUAAAGGAGAGGAGGAGAGAAGAAGUCGCUGGAAUCUACUUUAUUUAUUUUAUUUAUAAAACCAUCGGUCUGCAAUGUAACUGAAUAUUAUGUAAAUUAACUUAGUAAAAAAAUUAAGUCUUAGGUAACAAAUCUUAUUUUCUGGUCCCUAUAUCUUAGCAACCUGACGGUAUACCUUUCAUAUUCAAAAAUUAAAUUUUCUGAUCCAAAAGAAUUCAUAUUU